rnacentral:rRNA from 1 species
AUUGAACGCUGGCGGCAUGCCUAACACAUGCAAGUCGAACGGCAGCACAGCAGUAGCAAUACUGUGGGUGGCGAGUGGCGGACGGGUGAGGAAUACGUCGGAAUCUGCCCAGUCGUGGGGGAUAACUAGCCGAAAGGUUAGCUAAUACCGCAUACGACCGAGAGGUGAAAGCGGGGGACCGCAAGGCCUCGCGCGAUUGGAUGAGCCGACGUCGGAUUAGCUAGUUGGCGGGGUAAAGGCCCACCAAGGCGACGAUCCGUAGCUGGUCUGAGAGGAUGAUCAGCCACACUGGAACUGAGACACGGUCCAGACUCCUACGGGAGGCAGCAGUGGGGAAUUUUGGACAAUGGGCGCAAGCCUGAUCCAGCCAUGCCGCGUGAGUGAAGAAGGCCUCGGGUUGU